CACAGCUGCAACAUUGAGGGAAGAAGAAGUGCUGAUUUGACCUUCUUCCUGCAGUGUCGCGUUUAGAAGAUGUCUGGACUACAGGUUGGAAUUAAGAAUUUGUGGGCCAGGUUGGGCCCAUACUACACUAAGGCAUACCCAGAGGUGUGGGUUGGUUUCGUUCUCACGACAUAUGCCUAUUACAAAAUUUCCUAUGGAGGAAAGAAGAAGGCUGUGCAGGACAAACUGUCCCACUGAUGUUUGCAGCAUACUGCCUGACUCCGCCCACUGUGGAAAAAGGCUCCGGUCCACAACCCCACCCUCAAGUUUUGUUGUUAAUAUGGAACAAAUAAACUUAUUCACAGUC